UGGCUGAGAUGAUGACAACAAGAACUAGUAAGAAGGCUGCUGCUGUAGGUCCUUCAAAGUCAUAGAGUAAAGUGGAAGUCAAGAAGAGAAAGGUCAGAGAAAGUUCUGAUUCUGAGGAUGAUGUUGAAGACGAUGUCCCAGACAUCUCUCCUGUCAAAAAGCAAACUAUUAGAAAAUCUCCAGCUAAGGUUGUUGUUGUGCCUUCGGAUAACAUUUCCUUCCAUAUGGAAGAUGGUGCAGCCAAGUGGAAAUUUGUGAUACAUAGGAGAGUUGUU
rnacentral:lncRNA from 1 species